CAGUCGAGCGGACAGAUGGGAGCUUGCUCCCUGAUGUUAGCGGCGGACGGGUGAGUAACACGUGGGUAACCUGCCUGUAAGACUGGGAUAACUCCGGGAAACCGGGGCUAAUACCGGAUGGUUGUUUGAACCGCAUGGUUCAGACAUAAAAGGUGGCUUCGGCUACCACUUACAGAUGGACCCGCGGCGCAUUAGCUAGUUGGUGAGGUAACGGCUCACCAAGGCGACGAUGCGUAGCCGACCUGAGAGGGUGAUCGGCCACACUGGGACUGAGACACGGCCCAGACUCCUACGGGAGGCAGCAGUAGGGAAUCUUCCGCAAUGGACGAAAGUCUGACGGAGCAACGCCGCGUGAGUGAUGAAGGUUUUCGGAUCGUAAAGCUCUGUUGUUAGGGAAGAACAAGUGCCGUUCAAAUAGGGCGGCACCUUGACGGUACCUAACCAGAAAGCCACGGCUAACUACGUGCCAGCAGCCGCGGUAAUACGUAGGUGGCAAGCGUUGUCCGGAAUUAUUGGGCGUAAAGGGCUCGCAGGCGGUUUCUUAAGUCUGAUGUGAAAGCCCCCGGCUCAACCGGGGAGGGUCAUUGGAAACUGGGGAACUUGAGUGCAGAAGAGGAGAGUGGAAUUCCACGUGUAGCGGUGAAAUGCGUAGAGAUGUGGAGGAACACCAGUGGCGAAGGCGACUCUCUGGUCUGUAACUGACGCUGAGGAGCGAAAGCGUGGGGAGCGAACAGGAUUAGAUACCCUGGUAGUCCACGCCGUAAACGAUGAGUGCUAAGUGUUAGGGGGUUUCCGCCCCUUAGUGCUGCAGCUAACGCAUUAAGCACUCCGCCUGGGGAGUA
rnacentral:rRNA from 1 species